GAUGAACGCUGACAGAAUGCUUAACACAUGCAAGUCCACUUGAACUUCGGUUUGGGUGGCGGACGGGUGAGUAACGCGUAAAGAACUUGCCUCACAGAUAGGGACAACAUUUGGAAACGAAUGCUAAUACCUGAUAUUAUGAUUAUAUGGCAUCGUAUAAUUAUGAAAGCUAUAUGCGCUGUGAGAGAGCUUUGCGUCCCAUUAGCUAGUUGGAGAGGUAACGGCUCACCAAGGCGAUGAUGGGUAGCCGGCCUGAGAGGGUGAUCGGCCACAAGGGGACUGAGACACGGCCCUUACUCCUACGGGAGGCAGCAGUGGGGAAUAUUGGACAAUGGACCAAGAGUCUGAUCCAGCAAUUCUGUGUGCACGAUGAAGUUUUUCGGAAUGUAAAGUGCUUUCAGUUGGGAAGAAAAAAAUGACGGUACCAACAGAAGAAGUGACGGCUAAAUACGUA
rnacentral:rRNA from 1 species